CAAUAUUUUCGUAUGGGUUAACUCAUAGAUUUUGAGAAAAUUUUUAAAAGAUGAAAAUACUGUUUUAAUGCAGAGUGGCAUCCUUCACUAACAUAUGAUGAAGGUCAAAGAGGUUUGGAACCUUUGUUGUCUCCGUUUUUCAAGAGAAUAGUGAUUUUAUAGUGGUUAGUCCACCAAUUUAUGGACUAUUAUGAAGUUUUACUAAAUUAAUUGACAAAAAAUUAGAACGAUGCACAUGUACAAUGAAAGAUAUUUUAAUGUACAUUAAUACAAAUUUAGAAUGUGUUUAUAAAUUUUAAAACAACACAAAAGAUCAUUGGCUUUAGUAUAUAGAGCAUUUACCGAAAAGUUUAAUAUUUUCGUAGGGGUUAACUCAUAGAUUUUGAGAAAAAUUUAAAAAGAUGAAAAUAUUGUUUUAAUGCAGAGUUGCAUCCUUCACUAACAUA